rnacentral:lncRNA from 1 species
ACACACAGGCAUGCCCAUUCAUUUACAUAUUGUCUGUGGCUGCUUUGCCCUGCAAUGGCAAAGAUUAGUUUCCAGGGAGACCAUUCACCUACAAAGCCUAAAAUAUUUCUUACUUGGCCCUUUACAGAAAAUAUUUGCUGACCCCUACCCUACACCAGGGUCUUCUCCUGAGUAUCUCUCUUAUUACCUGGUGGUUUCUAUUUCUAGGGCAGGAGCUGUUUUAAGUUCCUACCCUGUUUGCACCUGCUGUUCCCUCUGCCUGGAGGGCCCUUCCCUCCUGCCUCUCCAAUCUGCUCAUCAUCUGCACAUGUUCUUGACCUUCUCGACUGGGUUAACUUCUCAUCUUGGCUUCAUAGCCCUUGUCACCUUCUCAAUUUUAUGCUUGUCUGGGCAAGAAUUUGAUUAGCAUCUGUCCUGCCUCUAGACAGUAUGCUCCAUUCUCCGAAGCAACGUAAGGCAGUUUAGAGGGAAACAUAAAAUACUGCAUAAUAAAAAUGCAGGUGUCUGUUUUUGCUCAGGGUGCCCUCAGCUCCUCACCAGGAUCUGGUACCUGGAAGAUGCUCAACAAGUGUAUGUGGGCUGACCGAAUGGAAAGAUUGGAUGUGAAAAAGAAGGAAGAUGAAACAACAGCUCAAAGGGGAUUCAGGGUCAAGAAGAGGGCAGAUGGGGGGUACUGGAGAUGCAGUCUGUAUACACUGCUCAGACCUGGAGGCUAAUGGUGGGAUUUGGAUUUUUGGCUCUGUCACUAACUAGCUGUGUGAUACUGGGCAAAUUAUUUAACCUCUCUGGGCUUCAUAUGUAAGAUGGGGAUCAUAACAGUACUUUCCUCAGAGAUGUUGUGUGAGAUCUAAACAGAUGAAGUGCUUAUCAUAGAGUCUGGUCCAUAGAAAGUGUGCAUUGUUUGUUGUGAAUUGUGUUUCUCAAAAGAUAUGUUCAAGGCCCAACCUCUGGUAGCUGUGAAUAUGACCUUACUUGGAAACAGGACCUCUGCAGAUGUAAUCGAGUUGAGAUCAUACUGGAUUAAGGUGGGUUCCAAUCCAGUGACUGCUGUCCUUAUGAAAAGAAGGAAAUCUGGACAUUGACACACAGGGGAGAGGCCACAUGAAGCCAGAGGUAGAGGCAAAGUGUGGUGUCCAAGGACUGUUGGCAACCAAGCUUGGAGAGGGUCAUGGAACAGCUCCUCCCCUACAGCCUCUAGAGGGAGCACAGCCUUACCGACACAUUGGUUUUGGACCUCUAGCCUCCAGAACGGUGAGGGAAUAAAAGGCUAUUAUCUCAAGCCCCAUAGUUUGUGGUCACUUGUUAUGGCAGCCCCAGGAUACCAGUACAGUGCUCCCUAAUCCUUAGGCCAUCAUUGUUCAAGGGGAGAGCUUAUGGCAAGGGAGAGGAUGGUGGAUAUUGUAGGCGCCACCUGGAUUUUCUUGGGCUUUUAAGUCCAUGCAUGGAUGGCACUUGACUGUGGGCCCCUGUGAUAUCCUGCCUGAGAGCUUCCUUCUCCACCGUUGGGACAAUUAUCCACUGAGGUGUAUAUGGCAAGCCAAAGAGCUGGUGCCCCAGCUGCACCUCAGCCAGUAACGGAUGGGGUUUGGUGGGUGAAUGUCCCGACUUCCUCGCUCCUUGGUUGGCUCUGGGGGACAUGGCUUCCUAGGAUGCCCCAGCUUGGAAAUCCUUUAUGGGCUGGCCUCUGCAUCCUGUCUCAUUUCUCUGCUCCCCAUCCAGUGCUUCCUGGGGGCGCUUUCCAAAUACACCAGUUCCGGUCACCUGCUGGUCUCAGCCUCUGCUUCUAGGGGAGCAUAUGCUGAGAGGGAGUUUGUAGGUGGUAAGUAGAGAAGGCUCAUCUGAUGGAGUAAGGCCCCAGGAAGGGCUGGAGGAGGUUUGGGGUCAAGGGCAGGUGGGCGAGUUGCCUUCCCUUGAGGAAGACAGGGGAUGCUGGAAGUUGGAGAACACAAUGUAAAGAUGGUUGUAGAUGGUAGUAACUUCAGUAAAUGAGAAAACUGAGCUAAGAACCCAUAAGGAAAGAAAUCCAAUGGGAUUGACUUCUUUACCCUCUUCUAAAAAAUUGCUAUCAAAGCAAUGUAUGUGCAUAAUUUUAAAAAAAUCAAAUAGUGUAGAAUAGUGUUCUAGGGGUGAAUGACAGCUCCUUGCCGCAUCCCCCUCACCUCCCUGCUCCUGGCCCUGGAGCCAACCUCGAUUGACCAGUUUUAGAUUUUAGCUCUGGUGGGUACCCCACACCUCCAAAAGACAGGCUGAUAUGGUUGAUUUUAGGUUUACCCACUUCAGGCAUUUCCUGUUUGCUUGUGGCUCUGCAGGAUGGUAGAGUGUGGGCAGAAUUACAAGAUGGCCCCAGGAUUCCAGCCCCUGGGUACACACACCUUCUCCCAGUCAUUCAAUUUAACACUAUUCUGUGGUGGGGGGGUGGAGGUAUGAGGGAGUGGAGCUGAUAUAAUUAAGGUUUAUAUAUAAUAAAUAAAUAAUUUGACCUCAAGAUGGGGAGAUAUCUGGGGGGUGGGGUUCUGACCUAAACACAGGAGCCCUUUAUAUCUGGGUCUGGGGGUCAGAGACAGGAAGUCAGAGAUUCAAGGGACAAGGGAGAUUUGAUGUUUGAGAAAUAUUCCACUGCUGGCUUGAAGAUAGGGCCACAUGGCAAGGAAACCCAGGUGGCCUCUGGGACCUAAAGCUAGUCUUCAGCUGGCAGCCACAUAAGGACCUCAGUCCUACAACCUCAAGGGACUGAAUUCUGACAUAGCCGUGUGACCUCAGUAGAGGUCCCUAAGCUCAGAUGACAGCGUGGUUUUCAUUUCAGCUUGGUGAGAUGCCAAGCACAGAACCCAGUGACACUGUGCCCAGACUCUGACCUGCAGAGCUUUGAGCUAAUAAACAUUGUCAUAAGCCACUAAGUUGUGGUAAAGUUUUACACAGCAUAGAUAGCGAGUACAGCCAGUGUGAGGUGGCGUGAGGAUUGAAGCUAUGUCGCACCACUCGUCACCAUCCUGUGCCUUCUGUCAACUUGCCUUCACUGCCUUAGACUCUCCACUGACCACCUGAGCAACUCCAAA